UUUUCUUUUUUCUCAUUACUAUGUCCAAUCGAAAUUUUUUUUAUGAUUUUAAGAAUUCUUUAUCUAUGCAACGAUAAUAAUAUUUGUCUAGAUGUCAUAUCUUACUAAACAAGAAUUGGAACGUUCAAUAUAUACAAGAUAGCAGGAUGUCGAAAAUUUUAAAAGAAUUAUUAAUCAUUCCAACAAGUAUUCCAAGAAUUUUAUUUCGAAGAUUAAGAUAUCGAAAAUUCCCGAAAGGAGCAUGGUUUAAUUAUUUCAAAAAUAAAUAUUCCAAAAAUCCUAAAAGAAUCUUCAAAGAUCAUUUAUACAUCUCGAUGAUUGUAUUUGAUUUCAAAUUUAUCUCUGUGUUUAAAUCUUUCACUGGAUCACUGGAUGGUAUAUCAAACACGUGCUUUAUUCUUCAUAAAAAAAAAAAAGAAAAUAAAAAGAAGAAAACAUAUAUACAAACACAUACACAUUGAAAAUCUUUGAUCACUGUUUUGAUAUUGUUAAGGGAGAUACAAGAUAAAAGGACAGUACACGUACCGUCUGU